rnacentral:rRNA from 1 species
UACGUAGGGUGCGAGCGUUGUCCGGAAUUACUGGGCGUAAAGAGCUCGUAGGUGGUUUGUCGCGUUGUCCGUGAAAACUCACAGCUUAACUGUGGGCGUGCGGGCGAUACGGGCAGACUGGAGUACUGCAGGGGAGACUGGAAUUCCUGGUGUAGCGGUGGAAUGCGCAGAUAUCAGGAGGAACACCGGUGGCGAAGGCGGCGACCUGGGUCGAGACUGACGCUGAGGCGCGAAAGCGUGGGGAGCAAACAGG